CCCCUAGAUGUUCUGGGCCGCACGCGCGCUACACUGAACAGUUCAACAAGUCUUAACCUUGGCCGGUAGGUCUGGGUAAUCUUUGAACGCUGUUCGUGAUUGGGAUAGACCUUUGCAAUUAUGGGUCUUCAACGAGGAAUUCCUAGUAAACGCAAGUCAUCAGCUUGCAUUGAUUACGUCCCUGCCCUUUGUACACACCGCCCGUCGCACCUACCGAUUGAAUGGUCCGGUGAAAUCUCGGGACGGCGGCUUGGUCGCUUGCGUCCGACUGCUGAAACUUGAUUAAACCAUAUCAUUUAGAGGAAGGCGAAGUCGUANCA
rnacentral:rRNA from 1 species